rnacentral:rRNA from 1 species
GAUGAACGCUGGCAGCGUGCCUAAUACAUGCAAGUCGAGCGAAUGGAUUAAGAGCUUGCUCUUAUGAAGUUAGCGGCGGACGGGUGAGUAACACGUGGGUAACCUGCCCAUAAGACUGGGAUAACUCCGGGAAACCGGGGCUAAUACCGGAUAACAUUUUGAACCGCAUGGUUCGAAAUUGAAAGGCGGCUUCGGCUGUCACUUAUGGAUGGACCCGCGUCGCAUUAGCUAGCUGGUGAGGUAACGGCUCACCAAGGCAACGAUGCGUAGCCGACCUGAGAGGGUGAUCGGCCACACUGGGACUGAGACACGGCCCAGACUCCUACGGGAGGCAGCAGUAGGGAAUCUUCCGCAAUGGACGAAAGUCUGACGGAGCAACGCCGCGUGAGUGAUGAAGGCUUUCGGGUCGUAAAACUCUGUUGUUAGGGAAGAACAAGUGCUAGUUGAAUAAGCUGACACCUUGACGGUACCUAACCAGAAAGCCACGGCUAACUACGUGCCAGCCGCCGCCGUAA